CGACCAGGCCCCCUGCGCGCCCGUGGCCUUAAGGAUCGGCUCCAUGAGCGGGGAGGUCGUCCUCGAGCUCCAUGCG
rnacentral:SRP_RNA from 1 species